UAAUGGUGACACACUGCUAUUAUAUAUGAGCACUCUUCCGCAGUUGUAAAAUUAUAGUGUCUCUCCAGGGACAGGGUGGACGGUUUAUGAGUUAUCAAGAGCAGCAGCGCUAUACGGAUGGAUUGCUGCUCUCACACAAAUGGGUAAAGUGAAAACGGUUGAUUUCAAGGUCCUCAUUUCCAACCUACAGCGUCCCCUGUCACAGUUCUGCCCUAGACUGUAUCUGCCAGCUCCUCCAUUUUGAUUCCCCGGCCUGCUGCUAUGCUCGUCAGGUUCUGACAAACUCAUCUACUAAUCUCCACUCAAUUGAUCUUAAUUGUGACUGGACACUGCCACCCUUUGGAGAAACAAGGAAGGGUGGAGGAAGUGGCUGUUUGCCAGGAUUCUGGGGACAGUACCUCCCUGGUCUGGAACAACUGACGGGUCUGUCAUCUGAGUAGCAGGCACUUGCGUGCAUGACUGUCAGUGAUCCAUUGCGCCUAAGACAUUAGGCAACAACUGCCAUUUCAAUUAUACUAAUAAAAAGAGUUCUCAAAGCCAGCAGCUGCUGUGUCCUGCCCCUAGGCCAAUCAUCUGUUAGAGAAAAUCUACAUUUUUCAAUUUGAUUUUUGAUAAAGGUUGUGAAGGGAUUUGUUUGGAUUCUUGUUUUAAUAACCCAUGUAAAAAGCAGCUCUUUCACCCUCGUAAUAUACAUACCUGGAAUUGAAAUUUAUCAGCAAGUAGUUGUUUUAUUAAUUAAUUAAUAUAUUUAUUUCAUUAUGACUACAUGCAGCCGUCUGUACUAUGAGAUUUUUAUAUUUUAGUAAUGUGAGCUGUCUUGAAACAUGGGUCGUUCUUCUAUUAGUUUGUUGGUAACAAUAGUCUUCAUUUAUUUUGUAAUUACUUCUGGGAAAGUGGUUCCAAAGUGGUAUUUUUGAUUAAAAGAAGGUCCCUCUGGAUAACCUAUUGUUAAGCUGUUGGUUGCUGGUCUGGUUGAUAGCCUCUGAGUAUGUUUUCAUUUAGAAUGUUUUUAUUUUGCAGUAUCCUGGUUAUUAGCUAAAUAAUUGCAAUACCUGGUUCCUCCAUUGUAAUGUGCUGUGUGAUCAUUGGAAA